rnacentral:lncRNA from 10 species
GGUCUCACUCUGUCACCCAGGCUGGAGUGCAAAGGCACCAGCAUAGCUCACUGCAGCCUCAACCCCUUGGGCUAAAGCAAUACUCCUGCCUCAGCCUCCCGAGUAGCUGGGACCACAGGCACGCACCACCAUACCUGGCUAUUUGUUUUUAAUCUUUUGUAGAGAUGGGGUCUUGCUAUGUUUCCCAGGCUGGUCUCAAAUUCCUGGGCUCAAGCAAUCUGCAAACCUCGGCCUCUCAAGUGCUGGGAUUACAGGUGUGAGCCACUGCACCCAGCCAGUAUCUUCAGUAUUUCCGUACCUCCUCCCUGCUCUCCUUUUUUCUUCCAUUGGACUUAACACUUCAAUUCAUAAUUUUAAACAUAAAUUAUUUGACACCACUCUUGCAGUUGAUUACAACACACCCAUGUAUAGGAAUAAAGCAGAGAACUUAGGCAAUACACUCUACUACCAUGUGAGAUGUUUAACUCCUAAAUCAAAUUAUCUUCCUCACUUAGUAAAUUUAUGAAUACAGGUUAAAUAUCCCUUAUCUGAAAUGCUUAGGACCAGAAGUGUUUCAAAUUUAAGACUUUUUCAGAUUUUGGAAUAUUUGCCUAUACAUAAUGAGAUAUCUUAGAGCUGGGAUGCAAGUCUAAACACAAAACGUAUUUAUGUUGCCUAUAUCUUAAUGCACAUAGCCUGAAGGAAAUUUUAUACAAUAUUUUAAAUAAUUUUGUGAAUAAAACAAAGAUGGUGCACAUUGAACCAUCAGAAAGCAAAGGUGUCACUAUCUCAGCCACCCAUGUGGACAGUCUGUGGUUGUUUGGCAUCAUCAUUCCCGACGCUGAUUUAUAUACCAAUAAGCUGUCAUUUUCUUCCACUUAUUCACACCUAAGUACCUUGGUCCAUAUCAAGGAAUGAGCAAUGACAGCCAGCCUGUGCGGCCAGAAGGAAGAUGGAGUCAGCCACGCUAGACUUCUCUCACUGUCAUCAUUUUUGCAAAGGCAGUUUCAUUACCUGUGAUUUGGAAACAUUUAAAGCACUGAAAUGAGGAAAUCACUCCAGAGUGAAUGGAAGGAUAUCAGCCACUGCAAAUGUCUGUCUAAUCUUGGGACGUUGAACCAGUUUACAGAGUUGCAGGGGGAGCCAAAACCUUGCCGUAAUCCUACCAUUCACUGGCU